UACGUAGGGUGCGAGCGUUGUCCGGAAUUAUUGGGCGUAAAGGGCUCGUAGGCGGUCUGUUGCGUCGGGAGUGAAAACUCAGGGCUUAACCCUGAGCCUGCUUCCGAUACGGGCAGACUAGAGGUAUGCAGGGGAGAACGGAAUUCCUGGUGUAGCGGUGAAAUGCGCAGAUAUCUGGAGGAACACCGGUGGCGAAGGCGGCAUCCUGGACCAACACUGACAC
rnacentral:rRNA from 1 species